GGGGGAGCGCUUUGCGGGGCGGGUGCCGCGCCGCGGGUGUCCUGGCGGACUACAACUCCCAGCACCCCCCGCGGGCAGCCAGCCGCCGGCCCCGCGUUUGCCCCCGGUGCCCGCCCCCCACCCCGAGCGAUGGAGGCAGAGGCGGACGCCGGCUCCGUGCUCUCGGGGCUGUCGGGCGGCGACGGGGCGGCCGCGGGACCCGCCGAGGAGGACCGGGAGAUGGAGGGGGCCCCCAGCUGCUCGGGGUCGCGCUCCGUCCCGUUCGAGUUCGAGCGGAGCCGCUCCGAGUCCAGCGGCGACGACGAGGAGGACGAGGAGGACGAGGAGGAGGAGGAGAUGGAGGAAGAGGAGCUCGAGGGGGACCCCGGGGCCCGCUUCGGGACGGACGACGGGGAGCUCGACUCGGACGACGACCGGGAGCGGAUGAUCAACCUGGCAGAGUUGACCCCUUACAUCCUCUGUUCCAUCUGCAAAGGUUACUUUAUUGAUGCUACAACUAUUACAGAGUGUCUGCACACCUUUUGUAAAAGCUGCAUAGUGAGACACUUCUACUAUAGCAACAGAUGUCCAAAAUGCAAUAUAGUUGUACAUCAGACACAGCCCCUUUAUAAUAUCAGGCUGGACCGGCAGCUACAAGACAUAGUCUAUAAAUUAGUUGUCAAUUUAGAGGAAAGAGAAAAAAAGCAAAUGCAUGACUUCUACAAAGAAAGAGGUUUAGAAGUGCCCAAACCAGCUGUCCCACAGCCAGUUCCAGCGAGCAGAGGAAGACCUCGAAAAGUUCUGGGUUCUGUGUUCCGGAUCCCACCAGAACUUGACAUCUCAAUACUUCUGGAAUUCAUUGGAGCUAACGAAGGCACAGGGAAUUUUAAGCCUUUGGAAAAGAAGUUUGUGCGUGUUUCAGGGGAGGCAACAAUUGGACAUGUGGAGAAGUUCCUCAGAAGAAAAAUGGAUCUGGACCCUGCUUGCCAGGUAGACAUAAUAUGUGGUGAUCACCUACUAGAACACUACCAGACGCUGAGGGAAAUCCGGCAAGUCAUAGGAGAGAGUGCUGUACAGUGUCUCCUGAGCUAGGCAGUAAGAGCAGUGAUCUGAUUUAAUUAGUGUGACCCUCUAGCGCGCAUCUGGAUGGCUUACUUGUACUGCACUAUGGCCUCGUGGUGUCUCCGCUAAACAUAACUUAGAUUGCUAAUACAUCAGAAGGUGAAAGAAUCCAAAGUCAUCAAGCUUCUUCACUGCUGUUUCUCACCAAAGAAGGCCAUCGUAUUUUCUGUGACAGGAAGCAAGUAAAAGGAACCACUGCUAACUGCUGUAUGCUUGUAAUUUAACAUCUGACUUUAUCACUGUAAAAAAAAAAAAGGCUUCUGUAGGUACAGCUAUGGAUGUUGCUAUGCUAUGCUUUGUGUUAAAAAUGACUGUCUUAAAAUUUCACUCAGCUCAGGGACUUUAAACGCUCAGAGUUGCUGCAUUUCUUUAAAUACUUCCUAAACCACAAGAUCUCACAGGGUGAGCAGCCCUUUUCCUCUAAGCUAUGGGAUUUUGCUUACUUUCUAAGUGUCUAGCUAGAACAGUGCUCUCAGGGAUGAUCUUCAGUGGGCAGUAUGAUGUAUUCUGGGGAGGAGACGGUCAUUUGGUGGAAAAAAGUGAAUGGUGAUCAUUUCUCUUCAGAUGUGAUUUAGGGAGAAGGGAACUCUUGAAAUGCAGACCAAAAUAGGUAGAAAAUAAUGUAUCACAAACAUUUUUUCCAGAAGUAGCAUUAAAUUUACUUGUUUUUCUUCAAGAAAAACAAUUUUGUUUGCACUGGAGAUAGAUUUGCUGGUAGCUUGACUUAUACCAAAUGGUGGAUCGUGCAUCUCUACUCUUAAUGGAGAUGAGCUGGCUGUAAGCUGUUUAAACUAUGCAUGGAAAAAAAACGUAGCACCUCUUUCUACCUGCUUGCUGUAUUUACAAUAAUUACUGUCAGCUUGAUUCUGCUGUCACGUAAAAUCUGUCAAAUGACUUGACUAGCAGGAAUACAGGUUCUUUAAUCUUAGCACACAUCUUUCUAGCAGCAGUGAAAAAAUAGUAGCUUUUUCCACUCUUUCUAAUGUGUAUUAGUGCAGACCAGGUUUGAGGAUGUUAAAUAACAUAAUACGUGCCUGUUACUACUACCAGAUUCCCAGAAGACAAUAGAUAUCUUUUUUUUUUUUUUAACAUAAAAAUGCUAGGGUUUUGUGAUAAUUAUGAUAUCUCAAGUUCUGUUUAAGAUUUCCACUGUUUCUUGUGCAGCAUUAAGGAUCAGAGCUUUGUAUGUUACGGUCUUGCUGCGCUCUCAGUCAUACAUGUGGGAGAGAUCUGUGAAAGCUGCUGUAAGGUACCAGGCUCCCUUGAUGGUCAAUGUAGUAAAGGGGGUGGAGAUUCCUUUGUAAGGCAUUUCAGGGUGCCUAAGUUAGCUCAAAUGCAUUUGUUCCCUGUCACAUUCACUGCUAUGCUGUCAACCUAGGAAUACUGGUAUCUUUCGUCUAAAGAAAGUUUUCAUGAAUCCUUCCUCAGGUCUUUACAAUAAAUGCUCAGUUUGCCUGUGAAGAUGACACCAUAAGAUAAAGUCUUAGUUGAAGUAAUUCCUGUGAUGCUCCUAAAAAAAAAAAAAAAAAAAAACAAAAAACAAACAUAACUACGGUUUCCUAUUUUACUUUCAAAGUUUGUACAAAAUUAGUGUUUAAAAUGCAGCAGAAAAUGGGAUUAUUUUGUAAACACUUUGUGAGUUGUGUUGAUAAGAGAUUAUAUAUUGUAACAGUAAAAUAAAGUUUAUUUUAGCCAAU